rnacentral:rRNA from 1 species
GACGAACGCUGGCGGCGUGCUUAACACAUGCAAGUCGAACGGUGAAGGGACCAGCUUGCUGGUUCUGGAUGAGUGGCGAACGGGUGAGUAACACGUGAGUAACCUGCCCCCUUCUUCUGGAUAACCGCAUGAAAGUGUGGCUAGUACGGGAUAUUCUGGGUCUGUCGCAUGGCGGGCCCGGGAAAGAUAUUGCUUCGGUGGGGGAUGGGCUCGCGGCCUAUCAGCUUGUUGGUGGGGUGAUGGCCUACCAAGGCGGUGACGGGUAGCCGGCCUGAGAGGGUGGACGGUCACACUGGGACUGAGACACGGCCCAGACUCCUACGGGAGGCAGCAGUGGGGAAUAUUGCACAAUGGGCGCAAGCCUGAUGCAGCGACGCCGCGUGAGGGAUGGAGGCCUUCGGGUUGUAAACCUCUUUCGCCAGUGAAGCAGGCCUGCUCCUUGUGGGUGGGUUGACGGUAGCUGGAGAAGAAGCGCCGGCUAACUACGUG